GACGAACGCUGGCGGCGUGCUUAACACAUGCAAGUCGAACGGAAAGGCCCUGCUUUUGUGGGGUGCUCGAGUGGCGAACGGGUGAGUAACACGUGAGUAACCUGCCCUUGACUUUGGGAUAUCUUCAGGAAACUGGGGCUAAUACCGGAUAGGAGCUCCUGCUGCAUGGUGGGGGUUGGAAAGUUUCGGCGGUUGGGGAUGGACUCGCGGCUUAUCAGCUUGAUGGUGGGGUAGUGGCUUACCAAGGCUUUGACGGGUAGCCGGCCUGAGAGGGUGACCGGCCACAUUGGGACUGAGAUACGGCCCAGACUCCUACGGGAGGCAGCAGUGGGGAAUAUUGCACAAUGGGCGGAAGCCUGAUGCAGCAACGCCGCGUGCGGGAUGACGGCCUUCGGGUUGUAAACCGCUUUCGCCUGUGACGAAGCGUGAGUGACGGUAAUGGGUAAAGAAGCACCGGCUAACUACGUG
rnacentral:rRNA from 1 species